CACGGCAUAGCCCCCGCCGUCCCCAGGGCCCCCCUGAGGGGGGGAACCCGCGCUCUCCCCACCACAUUCACUACACCAGCCUUCCUUCCAAUGGUUCCCGACGUUGUUCACCCUUUCAGGCUCGUCCUUUCAGUUCCUGAGGUAGCAAAGGGAAAUCUUGUCUGAUUUUCAUGGGGAAAGGGCUCUCCAGUGCCAUCCCUGCUGCUUCCCCUUGCACUGUGCGAGCCAGCUUCUCUUCCCGGGCUGGGAAUGCUGAGACUUUGCAGCUUUACAAGAGGAUUUGGGGCACUUCCUGGAGCUGCUGGGACACCUGGGCCCAGGAACAGCCCGUCUCGUGAACUGUGUUAGUGAUGGCAGCUCACCUGGAGAGAAUGAGCUACACCAUGAUUUUGCUUUAAGAAAGGAUCUGACCUUUCUCUCCAUGACUUGCCUGCCAGGGCAUGAGCAGUGCCAGGCUGGAAGUGUCACCGACCCCGCUCACCUGGGAUGAUCUGCCCUGUGUUUGCACUGGGGAUGUUAUCAGAGCCUGGGGAGGAGAGGAGGAACCCGAAUUUGGCGUCAUGAAAGGGAGUGUCCCACCACCACCUCUGCACUGUGAGCUGAGAUUUUUUGCUGGAUUCAGUGGGGAGAGCAGGUGGGAAAGAUAAAGCCCAGAGCUUUUAUUUGCUUGUGUAGAAUUAGCCUAUGGAAUGUUUGGGGAUCUAUUCUCUGCUGUAUGUAUACAGGCUAUAGACAACUGUCCUGCCCUGUGAUGUGAUGUUCCAGUGCCUGCUCACCCUCUGGGGGAAGAACCUGUUCCUAAUAUCCAACCUAACCCCCCCUGGCACAUCUCCAGCUGUUCCCUGGGGUCCUGUCCCUGUCACACCGAGCAGGGGUCGGAGCUGCCCCUCCUGGAGCCCCCCACGAGUCUCCCCUCAGCCUGCUCUGCUCCAGCUGAACACACCAAGUGCCCUCAGCCACUCCUCACACGGCUUCCCCUGACCCUUCACCAUCCUCAUAGCCCCAAAAAAUCACCUUCCAGACCCGCGGGUUUCUCAGGUUAAUGCACUGAACUUGCUGUUUCUCACGUGUCCGUGCCUCUCUCUGCCCUUGAAUGGGAGAGCUGGGCAGGAUUUCGGGGUGUGAAGCAAUCCCUCCCCCCGCAGCGUUUGGCCAGUGCUGGUGCCUGGCUGGGCAGGGCACGCAGGCCGUGUGCAGGUGCAGGUUUUAGCACGCCUGGAGCUCUGGGAGCACCAGCCAGGAUGAACUCAGCACCUGUCGUAAUCCCUGGUUUUGUAAGGUCUCUAUGUAGUUAUUAUCAGUGAUUUGGGACCAAUCCCUCAGCAAGCCAAGCACUCCCCCUCACUUCUGCAGGAGCUGGGAUUUGGGACUGGGGGUGAUUGACAGCUUUUCUCUUUUAGCUCCUUCGCAAAAAAUACUUCACCAGAGCAGGAUUCUUUAUGUGAAAGACACAUUUGUAUCUAUAA